AAACAUCGCCUUCUGAUACUCAUAGAAGGUCCAGCCUGCCCAGUGACUAAGUUAAACGGCCGCGGUACCCUAACCGUGCAAAGGUAGCGCAAUCACUUGUUCUUUAAAUGAGGACUAGUAUGAACGGCAUCACGAGGGUUACACUGUCUCCCUAUUCCAUUCAGUGAAACUGAUCUUCCCGUGAAGAAGCGGGAAUAUAAAUAUAAGACGAGAAGACCCCAUGGAGCUUUAAACUCAGUGUCAUCUGCCACUUCAAUACCCUCUUAAUUACGCAGACCAUGAUAACUAGUUUUCGGUUGGGGUGACCGCGGAGUAAAACAAAACCUCCACAACGAAAGGAACUAACAACCUAAUCCAAGAGCAACAUCUCUAAGAAUCAACAAAUUGACUUAAUUGAUCCAAUUACUUGAUCAACGAACCAAGUUACCCUGGGGAUAACAGCGCAAUCCAUUUCAAGAGCUCAUAUCGACAAAUGGGUUUACGACCUCGAUGUUGGAUCAGGGUAUCCCAGUGGCGCAGCAGCUACUAACGGUUCGUUUGUUCAACGAUUAAAACCCUACGUGAUC
rnacentral:rRNA from 1 species